GAUGAACGCUGGCGGCGUGCCUAAUACAUGCAAGUCGAGCGAAUGGAUUAAGAGCUUGCUCUUAUGAAGUUAGCGGCGGACGGGUGAGUAACACGUGGGUAACCUGCCCAUAAGACUGGGGUAACUCCGGGAAACCGGGGCUAAUACCGGAUAACAUUUUGAACCGCAUGGUUCGAAAUUGAAAGGCGGCUUCGGCUGUCACUUAUGGAUGGACCCGCGUCGCAUUAGCUAGUUGGUGAGGUAACGGCUCACCAAGGCAACGAUGCGUAGCCGACCUGAGAGGGUGAUCGGGCACGCUGGGACGGAGACACGGCCCAGACUCCUACGGGAGGCAGCAGUAGGGAAUCUUCCGCAAUGGACGAAAGUCUGACGGAGCAACGCCGCGUGAGUGAUGAAGGCUUUCGGGUCGUAAAACUCUGUUGUUAGGGAAGAACAAGUGCUAGUUGAAUAAGCUGGCACCUUGACGGUACCUAACCAGAAAGCCACGGCUAACUACGUGCCAGCCGCCGCGGUAA
rnacentral:rRNA from 1 species